AUCCUCCAAGGCUAAAUACUCCUGAUUGACCGAUAGUGAACCAGUACUGUGAAGGAAAGGCGAAAAGAACCCCGGUGAGGGGAGUGAAAUAGAACCUGAAACCUUGUACGUACAAGCAGUGGGAGCCCCAUCACUUAAUCCGAUUGGAAGGUGAUGAAAAGCAACCGCACUUAAACAAUGGUAAGAGGAGCGAAGCGAGUCAAACCACCCAAAAAAAGAAGCAGUGGGAUUAAGUGAUGGGGUGACUGCGUACCUUUUGUAUAAUGGGUCAGCGACUUAUAUUUUGUAGCGAGGUUAACCGAAUAGGGGAGCCGAAGGGAAACCGAGUCUUAACUGGGCGAAUAGUUGCAAGGUAUAGACCCGAAACCCGGUGAUCUAGCCAUGGGCAGGUUGAAGGUUGGGUAACACUAACUGGAGGACCGAACCGACUAAUGUUGAAAAAUUAGCGGAUGACUUGUGGCUGGGGGUGA
rnacentral:rRNA from 1 species